GCCCCGGUAGUGAAGAUUCUUCUAUCUCACCAUGGAGCCCUUAAACCUUGUGUAAGAGAUUACUAAGACGUUACAGGAGUUACGGAAAAGCACCAGUGAAUCUUAAUAUCAAGACAGGAGGAAGAGUUCAUGGAACUACAGGAACAAAAGUCAAAGGGGUAGAGCUCGAUGCACCUAGAAGUAUUAAUGGAGUUCCACUCUUGGAGGUAGAUUUGGAUUCUUUUGAAGAUAAACCAUGGUGUGAACCUGGCGCUGACCGUUCUGAUUAUUUUAAUUAUGGGUUUAACGAAGAUACCUGGAACGCUUACUGUGAAAAACAAAAAAGGAUACGAAUGGGGCUUGAAGUUAUAGCAGUUACCUCAAUUACAAAUAUAUUUAUGGUUCGUCUCAGCAGACAUAAAGCAGUUCGACAUUCUACACUUGCCCUAAACAGCUCCCAGUGCCAGGAACUGGCAAACUAAUAUUUUGGUUUCAGUGGAUGGUCUAAAAGGAUUGUCAAGGUAGGAAGCGGAGAGAGAGUUCAAGUGCGGAACUUGUGCCCACCGUGUUCAAGGCCCUGGGUU